rnacentral:rRNA from 1 species
CACGUAGGGCGCAAGCGUUGUCCGGAAUUAUUGGGCGUAAAGAGCUCGUAGGCGGUUUGUCGCGUCUGCUGUGAAAACUGGAGGCUCAACCUCCAGCCUGCAGUGGGUACGGGCAGACUAGAGUGCGGUAGGGGAGAUUGGAAUUCCUGGUGUAGCGGUGGAAUGCGCAGAUAUCAGGAGGAACACCGAUGGCGAAGGCAGAUCUCUGGGCCGUAACUGACGCUGAGGAGCGAAAGCAUGGGGAGCGAACGGG